AGAGUUUGAUCCUGGCUCAGGAUGAACGCUGGCGGCAUGCCUAAUACAUGCAAGUCGAACGGAGCGAAUAUGGAAGCUUGCUUCCGUAAGAGCUCAGUGGCGAACGGGUGAGUAACACGUAGGUAACCUGCCCAUGUGCCCGGGAUAACUGCUGGAAACGGUAGCUAAAACCGGAUAGGUGAAUAGGAGGCAUCUCUUAUUCAUUAAAGGACCUGCAAAGGUGCGAACAUGGAUGGACCUGCGGCGCAUUAGCUGGUUGGAGUGGUAACGGCACACCAAGGCGACGAUGCGUAGCCGACCUGAGAGGGCGAACGGCCACAUUGGGACUGAGACACGGCCCAAACUCCUACGGGAGGCAGCAGUAGGGAAUUUUCGUCAAUGGGGGGAACCCUGAACGAGCAAUGCCGCGUGAGUGAAGAAGGUCUUCGGAUCGUAAAGCUCUGUUGUAAGUGAAGAACGGUCAGUAGAGGAAAUGAUACUGAAGUGACGGUAGCUUACCAGAAAGCCACGGCUAACUACGUGCCAGCAGCCGCGGUAAUACGUAGGUGGCGAGCGUUAUCCGGAAUCAUUGGGCGUAAAGGGUGCGCAGGUGGUACAUUAAGUCCGAAGUAAAAGGCAGCAGCUCAACUGCUGUUGGCUUUGGAAACUGGUGAACUGGAGUGCAGGAGAGGGCGAUGGAAUUCCAUGUGUAGCGGUAAAAUGCGUAGAUAUAUGGAGGAACACCAGUGGCGAAGGCGGUCGCCUGGCCUGCAACUGACACUGAGGCACGAAAGCGUGGGGAGCAAAUAGGAUUAGAUACCCUAGUAGUCCACGCCGUAAACG
rnacentral:rRNA from 1 species